UACAGAGGGGGCGAGCGUUGUUCGGAAUUACUGGGCGUAAAGGGCGCGUAGGCGGCCCGCUAAGUCGAACGUGAAAUCCCCAGGCUCAACCUGGGAACUGCGUCCGAUACUGGCAGGCUUGAAUCCGGGAGAGGGACGUGGAAUUCCAGGUGUAGCGGUGAAAUGCGUAGAGAUCCGGAGGAACACCGAAGGCGAAGGCAGUGUCCUGGCGCGUAACUGACGCUGAGGUGCGAAAGCCAGGGGAGCGAACGGG
rnacentral:rRNA from 1 species